GUUCAGAGAUGGGUGAAUUCUUUAUUUCCCUGACAUUUCUUGGUCCCACAAAAGUCAAGGAACCUGAGAGCAAUUCCUUUGCAAUACUCCAAAUUCCACCCUGG
rnacentral:lncRNA from 12 species